rnacentral:rRNA from 1 species
CACGCUCUGCGGCGCUACACAUGCAGUCGAACGAAGUAGCAUACUUAGUGGCAGACGGGUGAGUUACAUGUGGGUAUCUUGCCCUUUGGCCUGGAAUAACACGAGGAAACUUGUGCUAAUACCGGAUAAGUCUUUACGUGAGAAAGCUUUAUGCACCAUUGGAUGAGCCCGCACUUGAUUAGUUUGUUGGUGGGGUAAUGGGCUACCCAGACUGUGAUCCAUAGCUGAUUUGAGAGGAUGAUCAGCCACAUUGUGACUGAGACACGGGCCAAAACCCUACGGGAGGGCAGCAACUGGGGAAUCUUGCACACAUGGAGGAAACUCUGAUGCAGCGAUGCCGCGUGAGUGAAGAAAGGCCUUUGGGUUGUAAAGCUCUUUCCUCCGGGAAAAAACUGACUGUACCCCCAAUUAGAAGGGUCCGGGCUAACUUUCGUGCCCCACAAGAGCGCGGGUAAAUACGAAAGGGGACCUCAGCAGUAAGUUCGCGAA